GUCUGGAUGGUCUAGUUGGUUAUGACGUCGGUCUCAUAGUCUCAACUGUGAUCUUGUGCCUCAACACAAGAGCAAUCCGAAGGUCGCGAGUUCGAUUCUCGCUCUGGACA
rnacentral:tRNA from 1 species